rnacentral:rRNA from 1 species
CCUACGGGUGACAGCAGUGGGGAAUAUUGGGCAAUGGGCGCAAGCCUGACCCAGCAACGCCGCGUGAAGGAAGAAGGCUUUCGGGUUGUAAACUUCUUUUCUCAGGGACGAAGAAAGUGACGGUACCUGAGGAAUAAGCCACGGCUAACUACGUGCCAGCAGCCGCGGUAAUACGUAGGUGGCAAGCGUUAUCCGGAUUUAUUGGGUGUAAAGGGCGUGUAGGCGGGAGCGCAAGUCAGAUGUGAAAACUCAGGGCUCAACCCUGAGCCUGCAUUUGAAACUGUGUUUCUUGAGUACUGGAGAGGCAGACGGAAGUCCUAGUGUAGCGGUGAAAUGCGUAGAUAUUAGGAGGAACACCAGUGGCGAAGGCGGUCUGCUGGACAGCAACUGACGCUGAGGCGCGAAAGCGUGGGGAGCAAACAGGAUUAGAUACCCUAGUAGUC